rnacentral:tRNA from 3 species
GGAAGGGUGGCAGAGCGGUUUAAUGCGGCGGUCUUGAAAACCGUUGAUGCCGUGAGGCAUCCGGGGGUUCAAAUCCCUCCCCUUCCGCCA